AACGAACGCUGGCGGCAUGCCUAACACAUGCAAGUCGAACGAGACCUUCGGGUCUAGUGGCGCACGGGUGCGUAACGCGUGGGAACCUGCCCUUAGGUUCGGAAUAACUCCCCGAAAGGGGUGCUCAUACCGGAUAAUGUCUUCGGACCAAAGAUUUAUCGCCUUUGGAUGGGCCCGCGUUGGAUUAGCUAGUUGGUAGGGUAAAAGCCUACCAAGGCGACGAUCCAUAGCUGGUCUGAGAGGAUGAUCAGCCACACUGGGACUGAGACACGGCCCAGACUCCUACGGGAGGCAGCAGUGGGGAAUAUUGGACAAUGGGCGAAAGCCUGAUCCAGCAAUGCCGCGUGAGUGAUGAAGGCCUUAGGGUUGUAAAGCUCUUUUACCCGGGAUGAUAAUGACAGUACCGGGAGAAUAAGCUCCGGCUAACUCCGU
rnacentral:rRNA from 1 species